UACGGAGGGUGCGAGCGUUGUUCGGAUUUAUUGGGCGUAAAGGGUGCGUAGGCGGCGCGGUAAGUCGGGUGUGAAAUCUCGGAGCUUAACUCCGAAACUGCAUUCGAUACUGCCGUGCUUGAGGACUGGAGAGGAGACUGGAAUUUACGGUGUAGCGGUGAAAUGCGUAGAUAUCGUAAGGAAGACCAGUGGCGAAGGCGGGUCUCUGGACAGUUCCUGACGCUGAGGCACGAAGGCCAGGGGAGCAAACGGG
rnacentral:rRNA from 1 species